rnacentral:tRNA from 2 species
CGCGGGGUGGAGCAGUGGUAGCUCGUCGGGCUCAUAACCCGAAGGUCGUCGGUUCGAAUCCGUCCCCCGCAACCA